rnacentral:rRNA from 1 species
GUUAAAUGAAUUGACGGGGCCCGCACAAGCGGUGGAGUAUGUGGUUUAAUUGGAUUCAACGCCGGAAAUCUUACCGGGACCGACAGCAAUAUGAAGGCCAGGCUGAAGACUUUGCCGGAUUAGCUGAGAGGUGGUGCAUGGCCGUCGUCAGUUCGUACUGUGAAGCAUCCUGUUAAGUCAGGCAACGAGCGAGACCCACGCCCACAGUUGCCAGCGUACUCUCUGGAGUGACGGGUACACUGUGGGGACCGCCGCUGCUAAAGCGGAGGAAGGAAUGGGCAACGGUAGGUCAGUAUGCCCCGAAUAUCCCGGGCUACACGCGAGCUACAAUGGUUGGUACAAUGGGUAUCUACCCCGAAAGGGGACGGGAAUCUCCUAAAACCAAUCUUAGUUCGGAUUGAGGGCUGCAACUCGCCCUCAUGAAGCUGGAAUCCGUAGUAAUCGCGGAUCAGCAUGCCGCGGUGAAUACGUUCCCGGGCCUU